rnacentral:rRNA from 1 species
GUGCCAGCCGCCGCGGUAAUACGGAGGGUGCAAGCGUUGUUCGGAUUUACUGGGCUUAAAGGGUGUGUAGGCGGGUCGACAAGUGUCUGGUGAAAGCCCCGGGCUCAACCCGGGAACGGCUGGGCAUACUGACGAUCUUGAGGCAGGUAGAGGUCACUGGAACAACUGGUGGAGCGGUGAAAUGCGUAGAUAUCAGUUGGAACGCCGGAGGCGAAAGCGGGUGACUGGGCCUGUCCUGACGCUGAAACACGAAAGCGUGGGGAGCAAACGGGAUUAGAUACCCCCGUAGUCC